UCCUAUUUUUUAGUCUGUAUUUCGUAGUGCUCUUAUUUCUCUUAUCUCUCAUUUUUUAUGAUUUCUAUUUUUGAUAUUUUUAUUCCAUAUUUCUGUUAUGUAGAUUGCCGGGUGACAUGAUUUAAAUUAUGUUAAGUCAUGCUGGCUUAUACUAUAAAGUGCACAUGAAAGCUACUUACCUUCAUCCCAAUUUAUGUGACCACUUUUAACUUCUCGAGAUCUAAACUUUGUGAACUUUGAUCAGCAUUUUGAAAUGUAAUUUGUUUUUUAAUCAUAUGGAGAUGAGAAGACCAACAACUUAUAGUACUUACAUAGUUUUUCGAUAUCUAAAUUUUUAUUUCAAAAUAUUGAUUAUAUCUAAUUCAAUUUAACUAUAAUGAUUAGUCAAAUUGACUCCACAGGAAUUGGGACUGAGGAAGUAUCUAUUUAAGGUUACUAAUAAAUACUCUUAUCUAUUUAAGCUUGUCUGCUAUAUCUCUUUUGUCUGAAUGGGAAUAAAAUGGCUUGAUAUGCCUGAAGACAAAUGAAAAAUAUGUAUAAAUUUGCAGUUGUUUAUUUAUAUUUGGCGUUGUGUUUAACAUGAAUAAAUUUCUUUCCAUAUGCUCAACUGCUCUGCGUUCUAUCAGCGUGUGAUUAGUAUUUGGUCUGUUACCGACAGUAAGAAAACUGUAAUACUUAUCAUACUUUUCUACUUUCAUGUCUUGUUUCUUUACCUAUUUUUCUUUUGUUUUUAUGGGGACUUUGUGUCAUCAGGGAUGUAUAAUUGUCUUAAUACUGGGUCUUGGAUGAGCUUUAGCUGCUUAUGUAAGG
rnacentral:lncRNA from 1 species